rnacentral:rRNA from 1 species
GAUGAACGCUGGCGGCGUGCCUAAUACAUGCAAGUCGAGCGAACGGACGAGAAGCUUGCUUCUCUGCUGUUAGCGGCGGACGGGUGAGUAACACGUGGAUAACCUACCUAUAAGACUGGGAUAACUUCGGGAAACCGUAGCUAAUACCGGAUAAUAUUUUGAACCGCUUGGUUCAAAAGUGAAAGACGGUCUUGCUGUCACUUAUAGAUGGAUCCGCGCUGCAUUAGCUAGUUGGUAAGGUAACGGCUUACCAAGGCAACGAUGCAUAGCCGACCUGAGAGGGUGAUCGGCCACACUGGAACUGAGACACGGUCCAGACUCCUACGGGAGGCAGCAGUAGGGAAUCUUCCGCAAUGGGCGAAAGCCUGACGGAGCAACGCCGCGUGAGUGAUGAAGGUCUUCGGAUCGUAAAACUCUGUUAUUAGGGAAGAACAUAUGUGUAAGUAACUGUGCACAUCUUGACGGUACCUAAUGAGAAAGCCACGGCUAACUACGUG